rnacentral:rRNA from 1 species
UACGUAGGGUGCAAGCGUUGUCCGGAAUUAUUGGGCGUAAAGAGCUUGUAGGCGGUUUGUCGCGUCUGCUGUGAAAUUUCGGGGCUCAACCCCGAACUUGCAGUGGGUACGGGCAGACUAGAGUGUGGUAGGGGAGACUGGAAUUCCUGGUGUAGCGGUGAAAUGCGCAGAUAUCAGGAGGAAUACCGACGGCGAAGGCAGCUUACUGGGCAUUAUCUGACGCUGAGGCGCGAAAGCGUGGGUAGCAAACAGG